rnacentral:rRNA from 1 species
UGCGAAGGAGGGUGGAGAAGCUGCGUUAGUACGUAGGGGAGAAGGGGGAUCCGGAGUUAGUGGGCGGAAAGGGUGCGUAGGUGGUUGGUUGCGGCGGCUGUGGAAGCUGGAGGCGCAACCGCCAGCCUGCAGUGGGUACGGGCAGAAUAGAGUGCGGUAGGGGUGCUUGGAAUGCCUGGUGUAGCGGUGGAAUGCGCAGAUAUCAGGAGGAACACCGAUGGCGAAGGCAGAUCUCUGGGCCGUAACUGACGCUGAGGAGCGAAAGCAUGGGGAGCGAACAGGAUUAGAUACCCUAGUAGUC